GCCGGCGUAGCUCAACUGGCAGAGCGCCCGCCUUGUAAGCGGAAGGUUCGGGGUUCGAGUCCCCGCGUCGGCU
rnacentral:tRNA from 1 species